UACGUAGGGCGCAAGCGUUAUCCGGAAUUAUUGGGCGUAAAGAGCUCGUAGGCGGUUUGUCGCGUCUGCCGUGAAAGUCCGGGGCUCAACUCCGGAUCUGCAGUCGGUACGGGCAGGCUAGAGUUCGGCAGGGAAGACUGGAAUUCCUGGUGUAGCGGUGAAAUGCGCAGAUAUCAGGAGGAACACCGGUGGCGAAGGCGGGUCUCUGGGCCGAUACUGACACUGAGGAGCGAAAGCGUGGGGAGCGAACAGG
rnacentral:rRNA from 1 species